GGCGAACGGGUGAGUAACACGUGAGUAACCUGCCCCCGACUCUGGGAUAAGCCCGGGAAACUGGGUCUAAUACCGGAUAUUACCUUUGACCGCAUGGUUGUUGGUGGAAAGAUUUAUCGGUGGGGGAUGGACUCGCGGCCUAUCAGCUUGUUGGUGAGGUAAUGGCUCACCAAGGCGACGACGGGUAGCCGGCCUGAGAGGGUGACCGGCCACACUGGGACUGAGACACGGCCCAGACUCCUACGGGAGGCAGCAGUGGGGAAUAUUGCACAAUGGGCGAAAGCCUGAUGCAGCGACGCCGCGUGAGGGAUGACGGCCUUCGGGUUGUAAACCUCUUUCAGUAGGGAAGAAGCGAAAGUGACGGUACCUGCAGAAGAAGCGCCGGCUAACUACGUGCCAGCAGCCGCGGUAAUACGUAGGGCGCAAGCGUUAUCCGGAUUUAUUGGGCGUAAAGAGCUCGUAGGCGGUUUGUCGCGUCUGCCGUGAAAGUCCGAGGCUCAACCUCGGAUCUGCGGUGGGUACGGGCAGACUAGAGUGAUGUAGGGGAGACUGGAAUUCCUGGUGUAGCGGUGAAAUGCGCAGAUAUCAGGAGGAACACCGAUGGCGAAGGCAGGUCUCUGGGCAUUUACUGACGCUGAGGAGCGAAAGCAUGGGGAGCGAACAGGAUUAGAUACCCUGGUAGUCCAUGCCGUAAACGUUGGGCACUAGGUGUGGGGGACAUUCCACGUUUUCCGCGCCGUAGCUAACGCAUUAAGUGCCCCCGCC
rnacentral:rRNA from 1 species